rnacentral:rRNA from 1 species
UGCAGUCGAGCGCACCUUCGGGUGAGCGGCGGACGGGUUAGUAACGCGUGGGAACAUACCCUUUUCUACGGAAUAGCCUCGGGAAACUGAGAGUAAUACCGUAUAAGCCCUCCGGGGGAAAGAUUUAUCGGGAAAGGAUUGGCCCGCGUUAGAUUAGAUAGUUGGUGGGGUAAUGGCCUACCAAGUCUACGAUCUAUAGCUGGUUUUAGAGGAUGAUCAGCAACACUGGGACUGAGACACGGCCCAGACUCCUACGGGAGGCAGCAGUGGGGAAUCUUAGACAAUGGGCGCAAGCCUGAUCUAGCCAUGCCGCGUGUGUGAUGAAGGUCUUAGGAUCGUAAAGCACUUUCGCCAGGGAUGAUAAUGACAGUACCUGGUAAAGAAACCCCGGCUAACUCCGUGCCAGCAGCCGCGGUAAUACGGAGGGGGUUAGCGUUGUUCGGAAUUACUGGGCGUAAAGCGUACGUAGGCGGAUUGGAAAGUUGGGGGUGAAAUCCCAGGGCUCAACCCUGGAACUGCCUCCAAAACUAUCAUUC